GAUGGGUGUUGCUUUGGUGCAUGUGAUACUAUACUCUCCAUGACUAGAGUUACACUCAUCU
rnacentral:pre_miRNA from 1 species